AGAGUUUGAUCCUGGCUCAGAACGAACGCUGGCGGCGUGCUUAACACAUGCAAGUCGAACGCGAAAGGGGCUUCGGUUCUGAGUAGAGUGGCGCACGGGUGAGUAACGCGUAGAUAACCUGUCUUUAUGUCUGGAAUAACACACCGAAAGGGGGUACUAAUACCGGAUAUUCUUGUUUUUCAUAAGGCAUGCAAGGAAAGGUGGCCUCUAUUUAUAAGCUACUGCAUAGAGAGGGGUCUGCGUACCAUUAGCUAGUAGGUGGGGUAAUGGCCUACCUAGGCGACGAUGGUUAGCGGGUCUGAGAGGAUGAUCCGCCACACUGGCACUGGAACACGGGCCAGACUCCUACGGGAGGCAGCAGUGAGGAAUAUUGCGCAAUGGGGGGAACCCUGACGCAGCGACGCCGCGUGAGUGAGGAAGGCCUUCGGGUCGUAAAGCUCUGUCAAGAGGGAAGAAGUGCACUAUGGUUAAUACCCGUAUUGCUUGACGGUACCUCUAAAGGAAGCACCGGCUAACUCCGUGCCAGCAGCCGCGGUAAUACGGAGGGUGCGAGCGUUGUCCGGAUUUAUUGGGCGUAAAGGGUUCGCAGGCGGCCUUAUAAGUCAGAUGUUAAAGACCAUAGCUUAACUAUGGAAAGCAUUUGAAACUGUAUGGCUUGAGUCAAGGAGAGGAAAGUGGAAUUCCUAGUGUAGCGGUGAAAUGCGUAGAUAUUAGGAAGAAUAUCAGUGGCGAAGGCGACUUUCUGGACUUGUACUGACGCUGAGGAACGAAAGCAUGGGGAGCAAACAGGAUUAGAUACCCUGGUAGUCCAUGCCGUAAACGAUGAGUGCUAGGUGUCGGGGGUCAAACCUCGGUGCCGGAGCUAACGUAUUAAGCACUCCGCCUGGGGGGUACGUGCCCAAGCAUGAAACUCAAAGGAAUUGACGGGGACCCACACAAGCAGCGGAGCAUGUGGUUUAAUUCGAAGAUACGCGAAGAACCUUACCAGGACUUGACAUACUAGUGAUCGGUAUAGAGAUAUACUUUUUCCUUCGGGAACACUAAUACAGGUGGUGCAUGGUUGUCGUCAGCUCGUGUCGUGAGAUGUUGGGUUAAGUCUCGUAACGAGCGCAACCCUUAUUUUUAGUUGCUACCAUUAAGUUGAGCACUCUAGAGAGACUGCCGUUGAUAAAACGGAGGAAGGUGGGGAUGACGUCAAAUCAUCAUGCCCCUUAUGUCCUGGGCUACACACGUGCUACAAUGGUCGAUACAACGGGCAGCUACAUCGCAAGGUGAUGCUAAUCCCUUAAAGUCGAUCUCAGUUCGGAUUGUAGGCUGCAACUCGCCUACAUGAAGUCGGAGUUGCUAGUAAUUGCAGGUCAGAAUACUGCGGUGAAUGCGUUCCUGGGUCUUGUACACACCGCCCGUCA
rnacentral:rRNA from 1 species